GAUGAACGCUAGCGGCAGGCCUAACACAUGCAAGUCGAGGGAGAAGCCCUUUCGGGGGCAGAAACCGGCGCACGGGUGCGUAACGCGUAUGCAACCUACCUUUCACAGUGGGAUAGCCCGAAGAAAUUUGGAUUAAUACCCCAUAAUAUUAUUGGAUGGCAUCAUUUGAUAAUUAAAACUGCGGUGGUGAAAGAUGGGCAUGCGUCCUAUUAGCUAGUUGGAGUGGUAACGGCGCCCCAAGGCUACGAUAGGUAGGGGUCCUGAGAGGGAGAUCCCCCACACUGGUACUGAGACAGGGACCAGACUCAUACGGGAGGCAGCAGUGAGGAAUAUUGGUCAAUGGUCGGAAGACUGAACCAGCCAUGCCGCGUGCAGGAAGAAUGCCUUAUGGGUUGUAAACUGCUUUUAUAUGGGAAGAAUAAGGCGUACGUGUACGUUGAUGACGGUACCAUAUGAAUAAGCAUCGGCUAACUCCGUG
rnacentral:rRNA from 1 species